AAUUAUGUCUGUGCUUACAAGGUCUUGUUCCGAAUACUCAAGAUUUUGCUUGAGCUUUCUGGCAGAGGCUUCCUUGAACAGGGCAUUGACAACAUCAGCACUUGUGCUUUUCUUCAGCGAGCAGGUUAGG
rnacentral:rRNA from 1 species